GCCUGGGAGGCUCAGUCAGUUGAGUGUCUGACUUCGGCUCAGGUCAUGAUCUCUCAGCUUGUGGGUUCAAGCCCCGCAUCGGGCU
rfam:Felis catus isolate Cinnamon breed Abyssinian chromosome C1, whole genome shotgun sequence.